rnacentral:piRNA from 1 species
UGUGAAGAGACGUAUAACAGUGCAAUACA